UGGGGAAUUUUGGACAAUGGGGGAAACCCUGAUCCAGCCAUCCGCGUGUGCGAUGAAGGCCUUCGGGUUGUAAAGCACUUUUGGCAGGAAAGAAACGUCAUGGGUUAAUACCCCGUGAAACUGACGGUACCUGCAGAAUAAGCACCGGCUAACUACGUGCCAGCAGCCGCGGGAAUACGUAGGGUGCAAGCGUUAAUCGGAAUUACUGGGCGUAAAGCGUGCGCAGGCGGUUCGGAAAGAAAGAUGUGAAAUCCCAGAGCUCAACUUUGGAACUGCAUUUUUAACUACCGGGCUAGAGUGUGUCAGAGGGAGGUGGAAUUCCGCGUGUAGCAGUGAAAUGCGUAGAUAUGCGGAGGAACACCGAUGGCGAAGGCAGCCUCCUGGGAUAACACUGACGCUCAUGCACGAAAGCGUGGGGAGCAAACAGG
rnacentral:rRNA from 1 species